UGAUGUGAUUUGAAAGUCACGCGGUAAAUUCGCGGGAAACCAGCUGCCAGUUGGCUAUAUAAGUAAAGCAAGCGCAGUGCACGGCCAGUGCUUAUGUGACUCUCGCGCCGCGAUGUGAUGAGAUUUGAAAGUCACGCGGUAAAUUCGCGGGAAGCUGGCUGCCAGUUGGCUAUAUAAGUAAAGCAAGCACCGUGCCUGGCCAGUGCUUAGGUGACUCUCGCGCCGCGAUGUGACGAGAUUUGAAAGUCACACGGUAAAUUCGCGGGAAGCCAGCUGCCAGUUGGCUAUAUAAGUAAAGCAAGCACAGUGCCUGGCCAGUGCUUAGGUGACUCUCGCGCCGCGAUGUGACGAGAUUUGAAAGUCACACGGUAAAUUCGCGGGAAGCCAGCUGCCAGUUGGCUAUAUAAGUAAAGCAAGCACAGUGCCCGGCCAGUGCUUAGGUGACUCUCGCGCCGCGAUGUGAUGAGAUUUGAAAGUCACGCGGUAAAUUCGCGGGAAGCCAGCUGCCAGUUGGCUAUAUAAGUAAAGCAAGCACCGUGCCUGGUCAGUGCUUAGGUGACUCUCGCGCCGCGAUGUGAUGAGAUUUGAAAGUCGCGCGGUAAAUUCGCGGGAAGCCAGCUGCCAGUUGGCUAUAUAAGUGAAGCAAGCACGGUGCCCGGCCAGUGCUUCUGUGACUCUCGCGCCGCGAUGUGAUGAGAUUUGAAAGUCACGCAGUAAAUUUGCGGGAAGCCAGCUGCCAGUUGGCUAUAUACUAUAAUUCGCAUAGUAAUUGUCACACUCGUUGUGUUACGUGUUCGACUGCGAACCGUGCAAUAAGAGACUACC